rnacentral:RNase_P_RNA from 1 species
UGAGUGAAUCGGGCGGCCGCUCGAAAUGAGAGGAAAGUCCGAGCUUCACAGGGCAGGACGGUGGGUAACACCCACUCCGGGUAACCGGCAGGAAAGUGCCACAGAGAAUAGACUGCCUGGCUUGCCAGGUAACGGUGAAACGGUGGGGUAAGAGCCCACCAGCGUUCCAGGUGACUGGAUCGGCUAGGUAAACCCCGUCCGAAGAAAGGCCAAAUAAGGAAGGAUGAGGCUGCUCGUCUCAAGUUACUUCCGGGUAGGCCGUUAGAGAGGGCCGGCAACGGCCCUCGCAGAUGAAUGGUCGCCACCCUUAUGGGUACAGGACUCGGCUUAUAGAUUCACUUAACAA